rnacentral:rRNA from 1 species
UGCGGAAGGAUCAUUACAGAGAACAGAGGGCUGUUGCUGGCCUCCUUGGGGCAUGUGCACGCUCCCUCAUCUUUAUUAUUCUUCCAUCUGUGCACAUACUGUGGAUCUGGAGGGCCUCCCUGCUCCAUUGUGUCGAUUGAGGACUGCCGGUCCCCGGCUUUGCCUUGUGCUUUUCCAGAUCUACGUCUCGUUUCACGAACGCUUGAUGUGUUUUAGAAUGUAUGCAAAGUUGAAUAACAAUAUACAACUUUCAGCAACGGAUCUCUUGGCUCUCGCAUCGAUGAAGAACGCAGCGAAAUGCGAUAAGUAAUGUGAAUUGCAGAAUUCAGUGAAUCAUCGAAUCUUUGAACGCAUCUUGCGCUUCUUGGUAUUCCGAGAAGCAUGCCUGUUUGAGUGUCAUUUGAACCCUCAACCACAUCAGUUGCCUGGUGUGGCUUGGACCUGGGAGCAUCUUUGCGGGUAUUUUUGCCUGCUCUCCUGAAAAACAUUAGCGGUGUCCAAAGCAGAAACCGUUCGGAGGGUGUGAUAAAUCGUCAACGCCCUUGGUACAACUGCAGCUGAGACACAGCUCUCUAAUCUGUCUGAAUUGAAAAGUUUGACCUCAAAUCAGGUAGGACUACCCGCUGAACUUAAGCAUAUCAAUAAGCGGAGGAAAAGAAACUAACAAGGAUUCCCCUAGUAACUGCGAGUGAAGCGGGAAGAGCUCAAAUUUGGAAUCUGGCGGU